AAGUCGUAACAAGGUUUCCGUAGGUGAACCUGCGGAAGGAUCAUUAACACGUAUCCAACGUUAAACCCCCCUGUGAACUUUUAUACUUGCUCUCGUGGCUACCGGAAUUGCAAUCCCUGGUAAAUCAUUGUUGAACAGAUUUUGAUUCAGGGACCUCAGUUUGGUAGUUUCGAUCGAGCGAUCGUUGCAAGUGGCCUGGUUUCCCCAAGCAGUCAGUGUCUGAAAGUGUCAUUGAUUGUGUAAGGAUAACGCUUUUCGAUCACUAGAGGCCGACACCGGCCGGUGACCAGGUCGCCGUGGCUUUUCGCCUCGUAGGAAACUGCUGGGCAACAAAACGAACAACUGUUAACAAUGGAUAUCUUGGUUCUC
rnacentral:misc_RNA from 1 species